UAGGGAAUCUUCCACAAUGGACGCAAGUCUGAUGGAGCAACGCCGCGUGAGUGAAGAAGGUUUUCGGACCGUAAAGCUCUGUUGUUGGUGAAGAAGGAUAGAGGUAGUAACUGGCCUUUAUUUGACGGUAAUCAACCAGAAAGUCACGGCUAGCUACGUGCCAGCAGCCGCGGUAAUACGUAGGUGGCAAGCGUUGUCCGGAUUUAUUGGGCGUAAAGCGAGCGCAGGCGGAAGAAUAAGUCUGAUGUGAAAGCCCUCGGCUUAACCGAGGAAUUGCAUCGGAAACU
rnacentral:rRNA from 1 species